UACAGAGGUCCCAAGCGUUGUUCGGAUUCACUGGGCGUAAAGGGGUGCGUAGGUGGUGAGGUAAGUCGGAUGUGAAAGCUCGGAGCUCAACUCCGAAAUGGCAUUGGAAACUACCUUGCUCGAGGGUUGGAGGGGGGACUGGAAUGCGUUGGUGUAGCAGUGAAAUGCGUAGAUAUCAGGAAGAACACCCGUGGCGAAGGCGGCAUCUCUGGGACGGUACUGACGGCUGAGACG
rnacentral:rRNA from 1 species